rnacentral:rRNA from 1 species
UACGAGGGGGGCAAGCGUUGUUCGGAAUUACUGGGCGUAAAGGGUUCGUAGGUGGCCUACUAAGUCAGACGUGAAAUCCCUCAGCUUAACUUGGGAACUGCGUCUGAUACUGGGAGGCUUGAGUGCGGGAGAGGGAUGUGGAAUUCCAGGUGUAGUGGUGGAAUGCGUAGAGAUCCGGAGGAACACCAGUGGCGAAGGCGACUACCUGGCCUGUUCUUGACGCUGAGGCGCGAAAGCUAGGGGAGCAAACGGG